rnacentral:rRNA from 1 species
CGGCGUGGAUUAGGCAUGCAAGUCGUACGCACAGCAAUGUGAGUGGCGCAAGGGUGAGUAAUACGAAGGUAACCAACCCUGAAGUUGGGCAUAGCCGCGGGAAACUGCGGGUAAUUCCCAGCGACGUUGCGAGAUGGCAUCAUCUUGCAACCAAAGGUGUGAUUCCGCUUUAGGACGGGCCUUCGUGGUAUUAGGUAGUUGGUGAGGUAACGGCUCACCAAGCCUACGAUGCCUACCGGGUGUGAGAGCAUGACCCGGCACACUGGAACUGAGACACUGUCCAGACACCUACGGGUGGCUGCAGUCGAGAAUCUUCGGCAAUGGGCGAAAGCCUGACCGAGCGACGCCGCGUGAGGGAUUGAAGGCCUUCGGGUUGUAAACCUCUUUCGUAGAGGAGGAAGGGGCUGUGAAGAACAGUCCUUGACCUAUUCUAGGAAGAAGCUUGGGCUAAGUUCGUGCCAGCAGCCGCGGUAAGACGAACCAAGCGAACGUUAUUCGGAAUUACUGGGCUU